CCCGCUCGCGGCCUGCUUCUAUUUAUGUGGGGGAUCCAACAUGGCGGCUGCGGCGACCCUGGCGAUGGCGGUGGAGCCCGUCAGGACAUAGUGGCGGGGAAGCGGGCACGGUCCGCACUCACGGUGGCGUCGGCGGAAACGGCGGAGGGCGGUGGAGGGAAGAAAAACGACGGAGAGCAAGAGGAAGGGCGGACAAGCAAACAACUCGGCGUAGACCGGAGCGCCGGCGCGAGCGAGGGCAGAGGGCCAGAACAGUAGGGAUGGCGGAGCCACGCAGAGUAGCGUUUAUUAGCCUGUCACCGGUGAGGCGGCGCGAGGCCGAGUUCGCGGGGGCCGAGCGCGAGCCCGAGUACCCUCGCGAGCCCCCCCGGCUGGAGCCGCAGCCGCCGCCGCACCGCGAGCCGGUCCGGGCGGAGCAGCCGGUCCCGCGGGAGGCUGCCCCUCGGUCGGACGCGCAGCCCCCGCCGCGGGAGAAGCCGCUCCCCCAGCGCGAGGGCAGCCGCCCCGAGCCGCCCAUGGCGCUGCAGCGCGAGCCCCCGCGGCCCGAGCCGCCGCCGCCGCCGCUCCCGCAGCUUCCCUUGCAGCCUCCCCCGCCGCGGGAGGCGGCUUCCCGGCCGGAGCCGCCGGCGAGGCCGCCGAGGGAGACGGUGCGCCUGGAGCUGGUGCUCAAGGACCCGACUGACGAGAGCUGCGUGGAGUUCAGUUACCCGGAGCUGCUCCUGUGCGGAGAACAACGGAAGAAGCCCAUUCACACAGAAGACCCAUUUAAUGAUGAGCAUAAAGAGAGGCAAGAAGUGGAAAUGUUGGCUAAGAAGUUUGAAAUGAAAUAUGGUGGGAAACCCCGUAAACAUCGGAAGGAUCGGCUACAAGAUUUAAUUGAUAUAGGCUUUGGCUAUGAUGAGACAGAUCCAUUUAUUGAUAACUCAGAGGCUUAUGAUGAAUUAGUUCCUGCUUCUCUAACAACAAAAUAUGGAGGAUUUUAUAUCAACACUGGCACUCUACAGUUUCGCCAAGCUUCAGAUACUGAAGAAGAAGAUAUUACAGACGACCAAAAGCACAAACCAUCCAAAAUUCCUAAAAUAAAAGAAGACAGCAUUGAGAUAAAGAAGCGGAAGCGGAAAGAGGAAGGAGAAAAGGAUAAGAAGCCAAGGAAAAAAGUACCCAAACAACUGGGAGUUGUAGCUCUGAAUUCACACAAGUCUGAAAAAAAGAAGAAACGUUACAAAGAUUCUCUUUCUCUAGCUGCCAUGAUACGAAAAUUUCAGAAAGAGAAGGAUGCAUUAGAGAAGGAAUCUAACCCUAAAGUCUCAGUGAACUUAAUGAGCACCUCUUUUAAUAAACCCCCCUCUGCUGCUGUAACAUUGGGAAAUGAUGUCUCCGACUUAAACAUGAACAGUGCCGAUCCGGACCUUCCCAUUUUUGUUAGCACAAAUGAACAUGAACUCUUUCAAGAAGCUGAAAGUGCCCUAAAGAUACUAGAUGAUAUUGACUUUGACAGAUUAUUGGAUGCUACUUCUGAUGGUAGCCCCCUCUCUGAGUCAGGGGGAGAGAAUGGAAACACCACCCAGCCAACCUACGCCUCUCAGGUUAUGCCCAAGGUGGUACCUAUACUCCCAGAGGGUUUACCUGUCCUUCUUGAAAAACGUAUUGAAGACCUCCGUGUAGCUGCCAAACUUUUUGAUGAAGAAGGAAGGAAAAAAUUCUUUACACAGGAUAUGAAUAAUAUUCUUCUGGACAUUGAGUUACAGCUGCAGGAACUAGGCCCCGUCAUUCGUAGUGGUGUCUACGCCCAUCUUGAAGCGUUUGUGCCAUGCAAUAAAGAAACACUGGUAAAGCGUCUAAAGAAGCUACAUCUUAACGUCCAGGAUGAUCGUUUAAGAGAACCUCUGCAAAAACUGAAACUGGCUGUUAGCAAUGUCAUGCCUCAACAGCUAUUUAAAUACCAGGAGGACUGCCAGGCUCGUAGUCAAGCUAAGUGUGCCAAGUUGCAAACAGAUGAAGAACGAGAAAAAAAUGGAUCCGAGGAAGAUGAUGAUGAGAAACCAGGGAAACGUGUCAUAGGACCAAGAAAGAAAUUCCACUGGGAUGACACCAUUAGAACUUUGUUAUGUAACCUUGUUGAGAUCAAAUUGGGAUGCUAUGAGUUAGAGCCAAAUAAAAGCCAGUCUGCUGAGGAUUAUCUUAAAUCCUUUAUGGAGACAGAGGUGAAACCAUUGUGGCCUAAGGGCUGGAUGCAGGCAAGAAUGCUUUUUAAGGAAAGUCGGAGUGUACAUAAUCAUCUUACUUCUGCCCCGGCAAAGAAAAAGGUGAUUCCUGCACCUAAACCCAAAGUAAAGGAGUGUAGUCCAAAAAAGGACCAGAAAACUCCUGCAUCCUUGGUGGCUUCAAUUGGUGGUCCUUCAAGUUCUGUCACAUCUGCCAUGGCCUCCACCAGCUCUAGCUCUACUCCAGCCCAGGAGACGAUCUGCCUUGAUGACUCACUAGAUGAAGACCUUUCUUUCCACCCACCUGCACUGGAUCUUGUUUCUGAAGCUUUAGCUGUUAUCAACAAUGGGAACAAGGGCCCUCCAGCUGGCUCAAAGAUAAGCAUGCCAGCUGCAAAACCUCGUCCAGGACUGAGAGAAGAAAAAUUAGCAAGUAUAAUGAGUAAGCUGCCACUGGCUACUCCCAAAAAACUAGAUUCUGCUCAGACUGCACAUUCAUCUAGUCUUAUUGCUGGUCACACCGGGCCAGUACCAAAGAAACCCCAGGAUUUAGCUCAUACUGGCAUCUCUUCAGGCCUUAUUGCUGGUUCUUCAAUUCAGAACCCUAAAGUUUCCUUAGAACCUUUGCCAGCCAGGCUACUUCAACAAGGACUACAGAGGUCAAGCCAGAUUCAUGCUUCUUCCUCUUCACAGACCCAUGUCUCCUCUUCCUCCCAAGCCCAAGUUGCUGCCUCCUCUCACGCUCUGGGAACAUCAGAGGCCCAAGAUGCUUCUUCGUUAACACAAGUAACAAAGGUGCACCAGCAUUCAGCUGUCCAACAAAAUUAUGUGUCUCCACUGCAAGCAACCAUUAGUAAAUCACAGAGCAACCCAGUGGUGAAAUUAAGUAAUAAUCCCCAGCUUUCCUGUUCAUCCCCACUUGUUAAGACUUCAGAUAAGUCACUUAUGUACCGCCUUCCCUUACCUACUCCCUCACCUGGAAAUGGUUCUCAAGGGUCCCACUCCCUGGUUUCUAGGACAGUACCUAGCACCACUACCUCCAGUAACUACUUAGCUAAGGCUAUGGUGUCACAAAUCUCCACGCAGGGUUUCAAAUCUCCCUUCUCAAUGGCUGCAUCCCCAAAACUUGCCGCAUCUCCCAAACCUGCCACAUCCCCUAAACCUUUGCCCUCACCUAAGCCUUCUGCCUCCCCCAAGCCCUCUCUGUCAGCUAAGCCUUCAGUAUCAACUAAACUUAUUUCUAAAUCGAACCCAACUCCCAAGCCUACUGUAUCCUCAAGUUCUUCCAGUCCAAGUGCACUAGUAGCCCAGAGUAGCCACUCCAGCAGUAACAACCCAGUCCAUAAACAACCCAGUGGAAUAAAUAUCAGCAGACAGUCUCCCACCUUGAAUUUAUUGCCCUCUAAUCGCACUUCAGGCCUUCCGUCUACAAAAAAUCUUCAGGCCUCAUCAAAGCUACCAAACUCAUCAUCCACUGGAACUGUUGGGAAGAAUAGCUUGAGUGGAAUUGCAGUGAAUGCACCUGCCAGCAGAGGUAGCAACCUUAACUCAAGCGGAGCUAAUAGGACUAGUCUAUCUGGGGGAACAGGAGGUGGAACACAGGGUGCUACUAAACCGUUGUCUACUCCACAUAGACCAUCCUCUGCCUCAGGGUCUUCAGUGGUAACAGCCAGUGUGCAGUCCACAGCAGGAGCAUCAUUAUUGGCUAAUGCCUCACCUCUGACUCUCAUGACAUCACCUUUGUCUGUAACAAAUCAAAAUGUGACUCCUUUUGGGAUGCUGGGUGGCCUUGUUCCAGUGACCAUGCCCUUCCAGUUUCCCUUGGAGCUACUUGGCUUUGGAACGGACACAGCUGGAGUGACAACCACCUCGGGAUCUACCUCAGCCGCUCUCCACCAUAGCUUAACUCAGAAUUUACUAAAGGGUUUACAGCCAGGAGCUCAGCAUGCAGCAACACUUUCCCACUCACCUCUGCCUACACAUUUACAGCAAACAUUUAAUGAUGGAGGCCAAAGUAAAGGGGACACUAAAUUGCCACGGAAAUCUCAGUGACUUCCAAACAAGCAAAGGAGAUGAGACACUCAGCUGGCUGAUGGAAUCUACCUGAUGGGAAAGUACUCAUGUGGUCAUAGGGCUGCUGUUCUGUCGAUGUUUACAUUCUCUCGUCCCAAGCACUGUGGUGAGGAGGAAAAAGAAAAGAAAACAUUACUUGAUGUAAAGCCAGGUGCAGGAGGAAGAAAUGUUUUCUUGCAAAAUCUAAAUUGUUUACUACCCAGGGUUGGAAAGGGCAGACACCUCUAGUCUUGCUUCUCUGGUUGCCCUCUACCACACCCCUUUCCAGCUCUACUUGGUUCAAGACAUUUUCUGAAAUGGAAAUUCUACUGUUUUUCAAACUGCCAUUGAUUGUGAGAACUCUGUGUCUCUUGGGAUCACCUCUUAGAACUCCAGUUUUCUAUCAUGUUUGCUGCUACAUUUGUAGAAUGAACUUUGCCUGUAUUGAUCGACUUUAACCUAAUUUACAGUUCUUUAUUUCUAGAGGUUUUGUCUUAUCAUUUGACCCAUGUAUAGAAUUAGGAUACUUUAUUUCAGGAGUAUACCAUAACAGAAUACUGGUCCCUGUAUUUUUAUCUUCACUUAGGCUUUGAAUUUGAGUUUGCUUGUUUUGUUUUGUUUUAAAUUAGAAGAGUGAUAAAACCUAUAAUCAGGCUAAACUCAAAAAGUUCCCUGUGCUUCAGCACUGUCGUUUCUGCUGACCGUCCGUCCUCAGAUGGGGCACUUUUACUUUAUGUUGUGCAUGUAUGAUUGUGUUUGUUUUGUUGUUUUUUGCUUUGGGGGCUUUUGUUUUUGUAAUAAUGAAGCAGAAGAAAAAUGCAGUAGUAGGUCAAUGACUGGUUACAAACAUGUUAUGCAGUUUUAUUUUAUAAAAUCUAAGGGGAAAAGUUUAACUCUCUGUAAAUCAUUUCUUAGCUCUGGUAAAAUGCUUAUAUUGCUCCUCUAAAACAUGCUCAAUUCAGGCCUUUCUCUUUUUUAAGUGCCUUUUUUUCUCUCCCCUCCCCCCACCCUUUUCAAACUGUUCUCAUAUACCCUGAAGUACAGGCUAAUAAGUCAGGGGAUUCAGGAGGAGGAAUCUCAAACUUGCCAACUUCAUGUCAUGCUGUAAUGUUCUUCCUUUUCUUUAUAUGUAUAUGGAUAUGUGUAUAAGAUACAUACAUACAUAUAUAUGUGUAUAUAUAUAUGUAUACAUAUGUAAUAUAUAUAUAAAACUAGUAGCUGCUGUACCAUUGCAUCCUUUCUGAACACUUCCUGUCAGUGUUUGCAAGACUUCUGCCUGUUUAUUCCACUGCUUUUAAUCAAUUCAAAUGGAUAGACUGGGAAAUUGUCUUUCCCCCUAAGAGCAUCUGUUUGUGUGCGUGUGUGUGUGCGUGCAUACAUACAUAUAUAUAUAUAUAUAAAAUAAGUAGUUAUUACAAGUAAAAUAAAUUUAGCCAACUCAUUGACUAUUCCUGGGCUGAACCCACUGCCCUAUGCCCUUCAAACUUGGCAUGAGUAAUACUGGAGAGAGCAUUGGAGUAACAAGUCUUUUGUGGGUCAAGCCAGUAAGGUGCACUAUGGCAGGCAGACAGCCAUGGGGGAGCUAGAGUUAGAAUCAUGAUAUUGUAUUUGAAUAAGUUUUCAAGGAAGUUAGCAACUUUGUCAACAUUGAAACUGCAUUUUGGGGAAAUUCUUUUUGGAGAAUUCAUAUAGCUAUUUUGCAUAUCUGUCAAAGGUUAAUACAUUUAGAAGUAGAAGGACUUCAGGUGCCGGGGAAAACACUCAUAUAACCUAUAGCAUUAUUGAAAGAUCUUCAGUUUUCAUUUGCCAGAUAAUUACAUUUGGCUUAAUCUGCUUUUAUGACUAUUUAAAUCCCUCCCUUGAGCCAAAUAACAUAAUUUUCAGCAUCUAAGAUUCAUUUGUUUUUUGUUGAAAACAUGUUUGACAUGUUAAGGGAGACUAAGUUGAACCAAUCCUCAAAACCCAGUACAAAUAUCUAGUAAGUGCUCCCUCUUAAAUACAUAUUAAUUGGGAAGAGGAGACUAGUGGCUAAAAGGAGAAAGCAGAGGCUCCUGGUAGUGUUACCUGAUAGCAACACUGUUAUUAGGCAGCCUCUGUUUAGUCGUGUUACUCUUGGAUUACUACGUUAGGGGGAAUAUCAUUUAACCUUCGUGCCUCAGAUUACCCAUUAGAAUGUUGGGUAUAAUAAUAUUCACCUACCUCCCAGGGAUAUCAGAGACUUUACUAGUUCAAAAAUACUUUGAGUUUUUCUAAAAUGUCCUAUGUAAUUAAAAAAGUAUUAUCAUCGUCCUGCAGAGGCUAAAGAAUGGGUAUAAAAAGCACCAUUUAAUUUUUAAUUUUAAAAAUAAAUCACUGGAAUUCUAGUUAAGAUACAUAUUUGUUAUUUAAGUAUUUUAUAUUUGUGGUGGGGUAAAAUGGUUACUUUCAGAUUAGUAAGUGGGAAGGGGGAAGUAACACAUUGUUUCUUAAUCAUAUGUAGAUUUUUUUUUUUUUUUUGCCUUUUAUGGUGUUAUUUAUUACAGGUGUGAUUUUUGCCAAGGUUUCAGAGCUGAAACUAUGUAAAAUUUGGAUGGUUUGUCAUUGGAGUUGGUUAAUGAUCCCGAAAGUUUUAUCUGCCUCACGUUUCCAUCUUCUCCAUCUAAUUUUCUUGUAUUAGUUGUUUGGUGAUGCAUAGCAAAGCGUUUAACUAUCUAAGAAAGAAUGGGAGUCUCCUCAUUCUUGUAAAUUGGAGACAGUGUACUGUUCCUGCAACUAUAGGUUUAUCCAUCUUUGCACUGAAGGGGCAAGCACUACACACAGUCAGCAGGGUACACUUCUAGCCAGUUUCCCUUUGUGAUUUAUGUUUCUUCAACCCAUGGAAGAGUUGUAGGAAAUGGGAGAGGGGAGGCAGGAUUCACUUUCUAGCUGGGGCAGGGUUGGGAGACCGGGGGUGGAAGGAAACACGGUUUGCCCAUCUCUGAAGAGGAAAGGAUAGUAAUACAUAGAAUUUUCCUCUAUCAUUUAAACCACAGGAAAAAUGGAUGCUGCCUUUCUAGUUAGGAGUAAAUGCUGAGCAACAAUUGCUGGGGGUUGAGUGCUGAUUUAAAUCGUAGCACAUGUUCAGGAUUAGGAAAGAACAUGAAGGGAGGUGAAGAACAAACUAUCUAGCUCAAGUGAGUCAGGAGAAAGCAGCAGCCCCAGCAGGCAAAGCACUGGACUGAUACCCAGAAUUGCCAAGGCUCAUUUAACCUCUAGUGACGGGACGUUUUUAUUACUUUUUCCAGAUAAGGCCUUAGUAGCCUCUGAGUAUCAACUAUGCAGAUAAAUGUACUCUUUAUUUUACACAUCCUUUCUUAUCCAUUCUUUAAAUAACAUGUUAAGACUUCUACCCAAAGAAAUAAGGCAUUAAGGUUUUGUUGAAUGUGUAUCUGUUCCGCUAGAGAAAAUUAACAGAAGCAUAAAAUAGAGAUAUUUUAUUUGUUCUUCUCUCAUAAAAUGUGAAUCUUAUAUUAAAAAAUUAAGUGCACAUCCUUUCACUGGUGCAAAACUUAGAAUCAUGGAAUACCAUUGGGUUGUUAAGUUACAUUAUCACCCCAGCGUUCAAUUCUGAGAAAGAUUUAGGUUCUGCAGCACAGUGUUCAGGUUCGUAGAACUGAACAGAUUGUCCAACUCUAAUUUAAAAUAGCUUUGAAUAUUAAUGUUGUAUUCUUCUUUAUUUCCUUUAGUCUUCAUUCUUCUUUCCUUUAAUUUGAGCUCUUAAGUUAACCAUUUCGUCAGCCAGUUGCUACACUGGAGUAUUGCGUAUUGCGAAGAAUCUGGGGAGGAAAGGUUAACCUGUCUUUCACCUCCUUUUCUCACUCACAUGGCUAUCUACCCUGUGUCCCAUUGAAUUCAGCAGUAAAGACUACAGUCUGUUCCAGGAGACUGUUCACAUCCCAGCACAGACUGAGAGAGAGACGCUAGGGCUUUAAUUAGACUGCCACUGAAUAACUUGACAUUAAAUUGCUUUUUUCUUAGCUACUCCCAAAGUACCAUUUGCUUGAAAGUAACUAUUUGUGGUCUUUAAUUUCCUCAUACUGUAAUACUUCUACUUUACUUCUCAAUCUUUCUUACAUAUUUUCAGUUUAUAACAGAUUAAUACUUAAGUUUCUGACACUUUCCCGAACUGUUAACCAAACAGGUCAAGAGUACUUUCAGAAGUCUUAGUAGUGUAAUUAACGGGGUUGAUAUUUCCAGGAAUUAGAAUUAUCACUGGUGACCAGAAUUUUUUUUUCUCUUCUCCUUUGUAUUAAAAAAUAGAUUUCUCUACUAUAUAAUGUAGUAGCUGCAGUUUAUGGCUUCUUCUUGAUGCUUUCGAGGUUGUUCAGGCCUUUGUUAGGAGUUUAGUUCUCAUAAUUCUCUGCCUAGCUUUUUUUCAUACUUCCCUGGGGAAAAAAACCUACUUUGCAAAGAGUUAAGUCAAACAGGUCAUAUGAAUCCUUAGUACGAAUUUUAUGUUUUUUUAGAAAACUCUUUCUACAUCAUUUGCUCCCAUUUUGCUAAUAAUAAUAUAAUUCUACUAGAAACCCGAUGCACAAAUUCGUGCACCAGCGGGAUCCCUCGGCCUGGCCUGCGGGAUCAGGCUGAAACCGGCUCUCCAACUUCCCCCGAGGGGUCCCAGA